UCUCGAUAGCGUAAGAGUUAACUCGAAUUUGUAUGGAGUUGGAAUGUGUGUCCACGUUUGCCGCUAGGGGCGCUGUUUCAACUGCAAAAAAAAUUGAGUUAACUUUUACGCUAUCGA
rnacentral:pre_miRNA from 9 species